AUAAUCAGUAUUCAUUGUUUACGAGUUUUUUUCAACUAUAAUAGCUUUCAUAUAAUUUGGUUUUUUCUUUUAAUAUUUUAUUUAUAUAAUAUUUAUUGUAGUAGUUUGAAUGGCUAAUUUUAGUUAUUUUUCAGGGUAAAUAUUUAUUUUAUUUCGAGUCUUGCUAUGUAUUUAAAGAGCUAAUUUUAUAAAGAUCUUUUUUUUCUAGCUGUAUAGUCCAGAUAACCAGCCCUUUUACUAUUAAACUAUCUUUAGCUAUUUUUUAUU
rnacentral:lncRNA from 1 species